GACGAACGCUGGCGGCGUGCCUAACACAUGCAAGUCGAGCGAGUGAAUCUCCUUCGGGAGUGAAGCUAGCGGCGGACGGGUGAGUAACACGUGGGCAACCUGCCUCAUAGAGGGGAAUAGCCUUUCGAAAGGAAGAUUAAUACCGCAUAAGAUUGUAGCUUCGCAUGAAGUAGCAAUUAAAGGAGCAAUCCGCUAUGAGAUGGGCCCGCGGCGCAUUAGCUGGUUGGGGAGGUAACGGCUCACCAAGGCGACGAUGGGUAGCCGUCCUGAGAGGGUGAUCGGCCGCAUUGGGACUGAGACACGGCCCAGACUCCUACGGGAGGCAGCAGUGGGGAAUAUUGCACAAUGGGGGAAACCCUGAUGCAGCAACGCCGCGUGAGUGAUGACGGCCUUCGGGUUGUAAAGCUCUGUCUUCAGGGACGAUAAUGACGGUACCUGAGGAGGAAGCCACGGCUAACUACGUGCCAGCCGCCGCGGUAA
rnacentral:rRNA from 1 species